GUGCUUUCUUCAGCAGCACAUAUAUUAAAAUUGGAAUGACACAGAGAAGAUUAGCAUGGCCCCUGCACAAGGAUGACAUACAAAUUCGUGAAGCGUUCUAUAUUUAA
rnacentral:snRNA from 1 species